AAAGUCGUAACAAGGUUUCCGUAGGUGAACCUGCGGAAGGAUCAUUAUAAAAUUUUCGUAUAUUUUAUUUUUAAAUAUAUAAAAAAAUGUAUUCAAAACCCAACACGCUUGUAACCAAUUUUUAAAACAAAUUAUAUCUCGCAUAUAAUUUAAUAAUUAAAAACAACUUUCAACAACGGAUCUCUUGGCUCUC
rnacentral:misc_RNA from 1 species